rnacentral:lncRNA from 1 species
AGUGGGCUUGGGCGUUGGGUGAAGUAUCCAGGUUGGGCGCUUCCAGCGCUUUCUGUGGCGGGGGAAUGAAGGCCUAGGUCAGGGAAUAGGAAGGUGUAUCGCCGCCAGAGUGCGGAACACCCUCGCCUUGAGGGUUCCCACAGUGACUUGCAAAAGUCUAGUGAGACCCGAGAAUGCUGAGGCGGGACACGAAGCAUGUGGUUCUUGUGGUUGCGACGCUCGUGCCGCCAUCUUGGGUGCUGGCGGCGGAAACCGGUACCCCAACUUCCCCUCGGUGCGAACCUGGAGAAGCCACCCCAGCUGUGAGGGACGGUUGCGCCUCAUGGCCCAGGCAAGGGUACCUUCGCUGGAGCAGUACCGCGGACGGAUAUCAUGAGGGUGGUGGGACGUUGGCGGAACGUUGGCGGAACGUUGGCGGUGUGAGAGGCUGGACUGGAACUCCUGGACUCAAGCGAUCUUUCCAUUUAUCAGGGACUACUGACGCGUGUCUCCCAAUAAAUACCUGAGUAUAAACA